GGCGGUGUAGCUCAGUUGGUUAGAGCAGGGGAAUCAUAAUCCCAAGGUCGCAAGUUCAAAUCUUGCCACCGCCACCA
rnacentral:tRNA from 4 species